AAAAUAUCUGAAAAAUAUAAAAUAUAGUAAAAAUAUAAUUUUGUAUUCAUUAAUGAGAAUGAGGGACUUACCAUUGAGGGACUCACUAAUCUCUUUGAACUAUUGUCCAAUAAAUCUGUUGGUGAGAAUGUGUUUCCUACUACAUGGAAAGGUCUUAAUCAUGAACAAGUGGAGGAUGUCGAAGUAGGGUAACUGUCAAGCUUCAGUUUAUGUACACAACUCCUGAAGAAGCUGAAGCUGCAUUAGAAAGAGAAGUUGAGUCUUUUAGUCCACCCAGGCCUAAUGAUGUGAGACUUUAAGCUGACAUUAAUAAUUUGUAACACUAUAGUCUCUUGCCAUUAUUGUCUAAGUAAUUAAUUAAUUUUCAUGAAUAUUAAAGUUACCUUAAUUGUAUUUUUAGAAUGAACCACCCGAUCCGGAAACCUUCCCCAUUAAAUGAAUGGGGAAAAUAUAAAAAUGUUCUGCAUUGCCAAUACCGCAAUACUUCUUACCUUAUAGACACGCCUAGCACCUGCACCUUCGAUUCGAGCCACACCUUGAAGGCAAGAUGGAGGAUAUUGGUGCUCGAUCUAUAGGUCUAUAUUACUGAUUAGGCUACUACAGUAGCGGCAACACACAGCCACUAUUUUAAAGUAAUUUAAGGUUCUAAAGUAGUUUGAGUGUUGUAGAACACUUAUUGCAUGUAUAAUUGUUGCUGCAUGGACUAUUACUGUUUGUCAACACAUUAUGUAUACAUAGCUACAGUGAUAGAUCUACAUAAUACUGGUGUUUGCAAAUUUCAUUUAGCAGUUUUAUUAAUUACACUACUAACCAUGUAGUCUUGCUCCAUCUACGCCAAAUUAUGAAAUAAUAAUUAUAAGUAAUAGUGAACAGAUUUAUAGUAUCUUAAUAGUAUCUGUUGUAGUAUCUUAAUAGACAUCAGAUUUCAGUUUGUUUAAGAUUUGCACUUGCAUGCUAAGUAAUAUAUAGCUAGAUGUAUGUGUUGUAUUUGUGUUGUGACAGCCAUGGGAAUGCAUUACAGCGUACAUCACUAUUAUAUUAUAUGGAUAUGCAUAGUUAAGUAAAUCUAUUGAUACUAUUACUAUUACUGUGUAA